UUGGCUAAGGUGUCUUGGCUAAGGUGUCUUGGCUAAGGUGUCUUGGCUAAUGUGUCUUGGCUAAGGUAUCUUGGCUAAGGUGUCUUGGCUAAGGUGUCUUGGCUAAUGUGUCUUGGCUAAGGUGUCUUGGCUAAGGUGUCUUGGCUAAUGUGUCUCGGCUAAUGUGUUUUGGCUAAUGUGUCUUGGCUAAGGUGUCUUGGCUAAGGUGUCUUGGCUAAUGUGUCUUGGCUAAUGUGUCUUCGCUAAGGUGUCCUGGCUAAGGUGUCUUGGCUAAGGUGUCUUGGCUAAUGUGUCUUGGCUAAGGUGUCUUGGCUAAGGUGUCUUGGCUAAUGUGUCUCGGCUAAUGUGUUUUGGCUAAUGUGUCUUGGCUAAGGUGUCUUGGCUAAGGUGUCUUGGCUAAUGUGUCUUGGCUAAGGUGUCUUGGCUAAGGUGUCUUGGCUAAUGUGUCUCGGCUAAUGUGUUUUGGCUAAUGUAUCUUGGCUAAUGUGUCUCGGCUAAUGUGUUUUGGCUAAUGUGUCUUGGUUAAGGUGUCUUGGCUAAUGCGUCUUGGCUAAUGUGUCUUGGCUAAUGUGUCUUGGCUAAUGUAUCUUGGCUAAGGUGUCUUGGCUAAGGUGUCUUGGCUAAUGUGUCUUGGCUAAUGUGUCUUGGCUAAGGUGUCUUGGCUAAGGUGUCUUGGCUAAGGUGUCUUGGCUAAUGUGUCUUGGCUAAGGUGUCUUGGCUAAUGUGUCUUGGCUAAUGUGUCUUGGCUAAGGUGUCUUGGCUAAUGUGUCUUGGCUAAUGUGUCUUCGCUAAGGUGUCUUGGCUAAUGUGUCUUGGCUAAGGUGUCUUGGCUAAGGUGUCUUGGCUAAGGUGU